GAUGAACGCUGGCGGCGUGCCUAAUACAUGCAAGUCGAGCGAACAGACGAGGAGCUUGCUCCUCUGACGUUAGCGGCGGACGGGUGAGUAACACGUGGAUAACCUACCUAUAAGACUGGGAUAACUUCGGGAAACCGGAGCUAAUACCGGAUAAUAUAUUGAACCGCAUGGUUCAAUAGUGAAAGACGGUUUUGCUGUCACUUAUAGAUGGAUCCGCGCCGCAUUAGCUAGUUGGUAAGGUAACGGCUUACCAAGGCAACGAUGCGUAGCCGACCUGAGAGGGUGAUCGGCCACACUGGAACUGAGACACGGUCCAGACUCCUACGGGAGGCAGCAGUAGGGAAUCUUCCGCAAUGGGUGAAAGCCUGACGGAGCAACGCCGCGUGAGUGAUGAAGGUCUUCGGAUCGUAAAACUCUGUUAUUAGGGAGGAACAAAUGUGUAAGUAACUAUGCACGUCUUGACGGUACCUAAUCAGAAAGCCACGGCUAACUACGUG
rnacentral:rRNA from 1 species